UACGGAGGGUGCAAGCGUUAUCCGGAUUUACUGGGCGUAAAGCGUGCGCAGGCGGUUUUGUAAGCCAGAUGUGAAAUCCCCGGGCUUAACCUGGGAAUGGCAUUUGGGACUGCAAGGCUCGAGUGCGGCAGAGGAGACUGGAAUUCCUGGUGUAGCAGUGAAAUGCGUAGAUAUGCGGAGGAACACCGAUGGCGAAGGCAAUCCCCUGGGCCUGCACUGACGCUCAUGCACGAAAGCGUGGGGAGCAAACAGG
rnacentral:rRNA from 1 species